rnacentral:rRNA from 1 species
GAUGAACGCUGGCGGCGUGCCUAAUACAUGCAAGUCGAGCGAACAGACGAGGAGCUUGCUCCUCUGACGUUAGCGGCGGACGGGUGAGUAACACGUGGAUAACCUACCUAUAAGACUGGGAUAACUUCGGGAAACCGGAGCUAAUACCGGAUAAUAUAUUGAACCGCAUGGUUCAAUAGUGAAAGACGGUUUUGCUGUCACUUAUAGAUUGAUCCGCGCCGCAUUAGCUAGUUGGUAAGGUAACGGCUUACCAAGGCAACGAUGAGUAGCCGACCUGAGAGGGUGAUCGGCCACACUGGAACUGAGACACGGUCCAGACUCCUACGGGAGGCAGCAGUAGGGAAUUUUCCGCAAUGGGCGAAAGCCUGACGGAGCAACGCCGCGUGAGUGAUGAAGGUCUUCGGAUCGUAAAACUCUGUUAUUAGGGAAGAACAAAUGUGUAAGUAACUAUGCACGUCUUGACGGUACCUAAUCAGAAAGCCACGGCUAACUACGUG